GCUCAGUGGUUAAGACGUUAAGACGUUGGACUCCUGAUCGGAUGGUUGAGAGUUCAAAUCCCAGCAUGACCA